GUAGCAUAAUCACUUGUUCUUUAAAUGAGGACUUGUAUCAACGGCAUCACGAGGGCUCUACUGUCUCCUUUCUCUAAUCAGUGAAACUAAUCUCCCCGUGAAGAAGCGGGGAUACUACCAUAAGACGAGAAGACCCCAUGGAGCUUUAAACCCAACUACACCCCUACUUUUCACACCCACUCAACCAACAGGGCCCUGUACGCUUGGUUUUAGGUUGGGGUGACCGCGGAGUAMAGUUAAACCUCCACGAUGAACGGGAAUACCCUCUUAUCCAAGAGCCACACCUCUAAGAAUUACCACACUAACAUAAAAUGAUCCGAUACUCGAUCAACGAACCAAGUUACCCUGGGGAUAACAGCGCAAUCCAUUUCAAGAGCCCCUAUCGACAAAUGGGUUUACGACCUC
rnacentral:rRNA from 1 species